rnacentral:sRNA from 1 species
GACUGGUCCAGAGGUAUCAAGUUAUCUCAAUCUCAAUUGUUCACAGUCAGUUAUAGAUUAAACUCUUUGUUAUAUUCCCCCCCCCCCCCGCCACCCCCGUCUCCUUCUCACCACUGCACUUGACUAGUUUUAG